rnacentral:rRNA from 1 species
UACGGAGGACCCAAGCGUUAUCCGGAUUCAUUGGGUUUAAAGGGUGCGUAGGCGGGCCUAUAAGUCAGUGGUGAAAGCCCCCGGCUCAACUGGGGAGGGUCACUCGAUACUGAUCGACUCGAAGGCAGGAGAGGGUAGUGGAAUUCCCGGUGUAGUGGUGAAAUGCGUAGAUAUCGGGAGGAACACCAGUGGCGAAGGCGACUACCUGGCCUGUUCUUGACGCUGAGGCGCGAAAGCUAGGGGAGCAAACGGG